rnacentral:rRNA from 1 species
GGGUUGUGAGGUUAAGCGACUAAGCGUACACGGUGGAUGCCCUGGCAGUCAGAGGCGAUGAAGGACGUGCUAAUCUGCGAAAAGCGUCGGUAAGGUGAUAUGAACCGUUACAGCCGGCGAUGUCCGAAUGGGGAAACCCAGUGCAAUUCGUUGCACUAUCGUUAACUGAAUACAUAGGUUAACGAGGCGAACCGGGGGAACUGAAACAUCUAAGUACCCCGAGGAAAAGAAAUCAACCGAGAUUCCCCCAGUAGCGGCGAGCGAACGGGAGCAGCCCAGAGUCUGAAUCAGCUUGUGUGUUAGUGGAACGGUCUGGAAAGUCCGACGGUACAGGGUGAUAGUCCCGUACACCAAAAUGCACAGGUUGUGAACUCGAAGAGUAGGGCGGGACACGUGGUAUCCUGUCUGAAUAUGGGGGGACCAUCCUCCAAGGCUAAAUACUCCUGACUGACCGAUAGUGAACCAGUACCGUGAGGAAAGGCGAAAAGAACCCCGGCGAGGGGAGUGAAAAAGAACCUGAAACCGUGUACGUACAAGCAGUGGGAGCACCUUCGGGUGUGACUGCGUACCUUUUGUAUAAUGGGUCAGCGACUUAUAUUCUGUAGCAAGGUUAACCGUAUAGGGGAGCCGCAGGAAACCGAGUCUUAACUGGGCGUUAAGUUGCAGGGUAUAGACCCGAAACCCGGUGAUCAGCCAUGGGCAGGUUGAAGGUUGGGUAACACUAACUGGAGGACCGAACCGACUAAUGUUGAAAAAUUAGCGGAUGACUUGUGGCUGGGGGUGAAAGGCCAAUCAAACCGGGAGAUAGCUGGUUCUCCCCGAAAGCUAUUUAGGUAGCGCCUCGUGAAUUCAUCUUCGGGGGUAGAGCACUGUUUCGGCUAGGGGGUCAUCCCGACUUACCAACCCGAUGCAAACUACGAAUACCGAAGAAUGUUAUCACGGGAGACACACGGCGGGUGCUAACGUCCGUCGUGAAGAGGGAAACAACCCAGACCGCCAGCUAAGGUCCCAAAGUCAUGGUUAAGUGGGAAACGAUGUGGGAAGGCACAGACAGCCAGGAUGUUGGCUUAGAAGCAGCCAUCAUUUAAAGAAAGCGUAAUAGCUCACUGGUCGAGUCGGCCUGCGCGGAAGAUGUAACGGGGCUAAACCAUGCACCGAAGCUGCGGCAGCGACACUAUGUGUUGUUGGGUAGGGGAGCGUUCUGUAAGCCUGCGAAGGUGUGCUGUGAGGCAUGCUGGAGGUAUCAGAAGUGCGAAUGCUGACAUAAGUAACGAUAAAGCGGGUGAAAAGCCCGCUCGCCGGAAGACCAAGGGUUCCUGUCCAACGUUAAUCGGGGCAGGGUGAGUCGACCCCUAAGGCGAGGCCGAAAGGCGUAGUCGAUGGGAAACAGGUUAAUAUUCCUGUACUUGGUGUUACUGCGAAGGGGGGACGGAGAAGGCUAUGUUAGCCGGGCGACGGUUGUCCCGGUUUAAGCAUGUAGGCUGGUUGUCCAGGCAAAUCCGGAUAAUCAAGGCUGAGGUGUGAUGACGAGGCACUACGGUGCUGAAGUAACAAAUGCCCUGCUUCCAGGAAAAGCCUCUAAGCAUCAGGUAACAUUAAAUCGUACCCCAAACCGACACAGGUGGUCAGGUAGAGAAUACCAAGGCGCUUGAGAGAACUCGGGUGAAGGAACUAGGCAAAAUGGUGCCGUAACUUCGGGAGAAGGCACGCUGGUGUGUAGGUGAAGUCCCUGCGGAUGGAGCUGAGACCAGUCGAAGAUACCAGCUGGCUGCAACUGUUUAUUAAAAACACAGCACUGUGCAAACACGAAAGUGGACGUAUACGGUGUGACGCCUGCCCGGUGCCGGAAGGUUAAUUGAUGGGGUUAUCCGUAAGGAGAAGCUCUUGAUCGAAGCCCCGGUAAACGGCGGCCGUAACUAUAACGGUCCUAAGGUAGCGAAAUUCCUUGUCGGGUAAGUUCCGACCUGCACGAAUGGCGUAAUGAUGGCCAGGCUGUCUCCACCCGAGACUCAGUGAAAUUGAACUCGCUGUGAAGAUGCAGUGUACCCGCGGCAAGACGGAAAGACCCCGUGAACCUUUACUAUAGCUUGACACUGAACAUUGAGCCUUGAUGUGUAGGAUAGGUGGGAGGCUUUGAAGCGUGGACGCCAGUCUGCGUGGAGCCAACCUUGAAAUACCACCCUUUAAUGUUUGAUGUUCUAACGUUGGCCCCUGACCGGGGUUGCGGACAGUGUCUGGUGGGUAGUUUGACUGGGGCGGUCUCCUCCCAAAGCGUAACGGAGGAGCACGAAGGUUAGCUAAUCCUGGUCGGACAUCAGGAGGUUAGUGCAAUGGCAUAAGCUAGCUUGACUGCGAGCGUGACGGCGCGAGCAGGUGCGAAAGCAGGUCAUAGUGAUCCGGUGGUUCUGAAUGGAAGGCCAUCGCUCAACGGAUAAAAGGUACUCGGGGAUAACAGGCUGAUACCGCCCAAGAGUUCAUAUCGACGGCGGUGUUUGGCACCUCGAUGUCGGCUCAUCACAUCCUGGGGCUGAAGUAGGUCCCAAGGGUAUGGCUGUUCGCCAUUUAAAGUGGUACGCGAGCUGGGUUUAGAACGUCGUGAGACAGUUCGGUCCCUAUCUGCCGUGGGCGCUGGAGAAUUGAGGGGGGCUGCUCCUAGUACGAGAGGACCGGAGUGGACGCAUCACUGGUGUUCGGGUUGUCAUGCCAAUGGCACUGCCCGGUAGCUAAAUGCGGAAGAGAUAAGUGCUGAAAGCAUCUAAGCACGAAACUUGCCCCGAGAUGAGUUCUCCCUGAGACUUUAAGUCUCCUGAAGGAACGUUAAAGACGAUGACGUUGAUAGGCCGGGUGUGUAAGCGCAGCGAUGCGUUGAGCUAACCGGUACUAAUGAACCGUGAGGCUUAACCUUACAACGCCGAAG